CCUACGGGGGGCAGCAGUGGGGAAUAUUGGACAAUGGGCGAAAGCCUGAUCCAGCCAUGCCGCGUGUGUGAAGAAGGCCUUCGGGUUGUAAAGCACUUUCAGUGGGGAAGAAAGCCUUGGGGCUAAUACCCUCGAGGAAGGACAUCACCCACAGAAGAAGCACCGGCUAACUCCGUGCCAGCAGCCGCGGUAAUACGGAGGGUGCGAGCGUUAAUCGGAAUUACUGGGCGUAAAGCGCGCGUAGGCGGUCUGAUAAGCCGGUUGUGAAAGCCCCGGGCUCAACCUGGGAACGGCAUCCGGAACUGUCAGGCUAGAGUGCAGGAGAGGAAGGUAGAAUUCCCGGUGUAGCGGUGAAAUGCGUAGAGAUCGGGAGGAAUACCAGUGGCGAAGGCGGCCUUCUGGACUGACACUGACGCUGAGGUGCGAAAGCGUGGGUAGCAAACAGGAUAGAUACCCGUGUAGUC
rnacentral:rRNA from 1 species